GGGAUUAUAGCUCAAUGGUAGAGUGUGUGCUUAGCAUGCAUGAGGUCUGGGGUUCAAUUCCCAGUACCUU
rnacentral:tRNA from 1 species